UGGUACAAAAUAGUAUGUAUUUUGUAUUCUUUAAAAAAAAUUGAGCAUUUCUAAUCUCUUCAUUUUCCUUAACCAUUUAGAAGUCAAAAGUUGAAUUAUUUGUGAUAAGUGUAUACGCUCUAUUAAUAUAUUAUUGCUAUAGAUAAGCAUAUAAUAAAGUUUAUAUUUAUUACUAACAUACAUGGAAAUUUUGGGCUACUGAGAUACCUGGCACAGUCAGUGACUUUGUCUAUUCCUACAGGAUCUAAUUGAAAGGUGUUAGGAAAGGCAUAGCAAAGAGCCUUUUUCCUGUUGUUACAAGCAGUAAAUGGCCCUUAAGAAACUUCAAAAAGAAUGAAUGCUUGCUUGAGAAAGAAGGGAGUAAGAGAAAAGCUUUUCAGUAAUGAGCAGGAGAAAAAAGAAAACCUGGUCUGAGAGAUAAAAGAGGUGACUAUUAAAACGGAAGGACACAGUCUACCAGAAACUCGUGAGGCUUUACAAAUCAAAAUCUAGACUCACUUUACCAUGGAAACUGAAGACAAUUAGAAAGUAUAUGUUUACAAUUUUGUAAUAUUUUACUUUAUUUUUAAUUAUCCAAAGCAAAUAUAAGACUAUUCAUGAUAGGAAUUGAUAGUUUGGUUAUGACUACACCGAU
rnacentral:lncRNA from 1 species